rnacentral:rRNA from 1 species
GAUGAACGCUGGCGGCGUGCUUAACACAUGCAAGUCGAACGAUGAAGCCCAGCUUGCUGGGUGGAUUAGUGGCGAACGGGUGAGUAACACGUGAGUAACCUGCCCUUGACUCUGGGAUAAGCCCGGGAAACUGGGUCUAAUACCGGAUAGGAGCGCCUGUCGCAUGACGGGUGUUGGAAAGAUUUUUCGGUCAUGGAUGGACUCGCGGCCUAUCAGCUUGUUGGUGAGGUAAUGGCUCACCAAGGCGACGACGGGUAGCCGGCCUGAGAGGGUGACCGGCCACACUGGGACUGAGACACGGCCCAGACUCCUACGGGAGGCAGCAGUGGGGAAUAUUGCACAAUGGGCGGAAGCCUGAUGCAGCGACGCCGCGUGAGGGAUGACGGCCUUCGGGUUGUAAACCUCUUUCAGUAGGGAAGAAGCGAAAGUGACGGUACC